rnacentral:rRNA from 1 species
AUUGAACGCUGGCGGCAGGCCUAACACAUGCAAGUCGAACGGUAACAGGAAGCAGCUUGCUGCUUUGCUGACGAGUGGCGGACGGGUGAGUAAUGUCUGGGAAACUGCCCGAUGGAGGGGGAUAACUACUGGAAACGGUAGCUAAUACCGCAUAACGUCGCAAGACCAAAGAGGGGGACCUUAGGGCAUCUUGCCAUCGGAUGUGCCCAGAUGGGAUUAGCUAGUAGGUGGGGUAACGGCUCACCUAGGCGACGAUCCCUAGCUGGUCUGAGAGGAUGACCAGCCACACUGGAACUGAGACACGGUCCAGACUCCUACGGGAGGCAGCAGUGGGGAAUAUUGCACAAUGGGCGCAAGCCUGAUGCAGCCAUGCCGCGUGUAUGAAGAAGGCCUUCGGGUUGUAAAGUACUUUCAGCGGGGAGGAAGGGAGUAAAGUUAAUACCUUGGCUCAUUGACGUUACCCGCAGAAGAAGCACCGGCUAACUCCGUG